CUUCUCAGCUUCUUCAUCUCAAGAAUUGAGAAAUCAAAAGAAGGGAAGACAGUGGGCACAACGGGUGGAGAGAGGAAAGCCGUCGAACGAGAGUGGCAGUCACCACAUCGCAGCCUUCUUCGUCAUCUCCAGAAGCAGGUGAAGAAUUGUAUAAUAUGGUGUUGGAGUACGGUGAUAUUAUGUUUGGCUUUGAAUCUGAUGCCUAGGAGAAAUUGUAUUCUAGCAACAAUGAAGGCGACUAUGAGUCAUUAGGUACCGACCAAUAAUAGGCACUUGAAGCACAGACAUCGACUCAUAACGCAGUCUCGUCGAGUGUGAUGUUGCAGCAUCAACGCAGGGUCCCUUCACAAUAAGAUCUAUUUACUCACAAGUACAAGGCCUAUUGAAAGAAUAAUCUUUCAAUGUUUACAAACAUUGAGGCUGCAAGAACAAUAACAUCGGCCUUUAAAUCAUUGAUGAAAAUUCUAUUGUUUCAAUGGAGUCAUGUUUCCAAAUAUCCUGAGAAAAAAAAUAUAUGAAAGAAAGAGAUCUUCCAGACUAGAAUGACGUGGCAGUUUUGAAGAAUUUCAAACCAGCGUAUGUCUCAAAGGUUGUAUGAGCACAAUACAUUCAACACAUGAUGUCCUCGUGUUUUACUUGACGGUUAUAGUCCGGUACAGAGAGUUAAAACUAGCGUGUUCACAGUUCUGUUACCAUGCAUAUCGACGACUUUGUUCUGUUAGUUUCGCAUGCAAAGCAGAUGGUAACAUUUUUUAUUACAUCUAUUUUUUAUUAGUUUUUUAUAUAAAUGUAUUUAACUGACAACGUUUUUUUAUUGGAAGCUAUAGUUUUUGGACACGAGCCAAGCUUAAUAAAGCUUUUUGUUGAAACGCA